rnacentral:rRNA from 1 species
UACGUAGGGGGCAAGCGUUGUCCGGAUUUAUUGGGCGUAAAGAGCGUGUAGGCGGCCUUACAGGUCAGCUGUGAAAACUCGAGGCUCAACCUCGAGACGUCGGUUGAAACCGUAUGGCUAGAGUCCGGAAGAGGAGAGUGGAAUUCCUGGUGUAGCGGUGAAAUGCGUAGAUAUCUGGAGGAACACCGGUGGCGAAGGCGGCAUCCUGGACCGGUAUUGACGCUGAGGCGCGAAAGCCAGGGGAGCAAACGGG